rnacentral:rRNA from 1 species
UACGUAGGUGGCAAGCGUUGUCCGGAAUUAUUGGGCGUAAAGCGCGCGCAGGCGGUCCUUUAAGUCUGAUGUGAAAGCCCACGGCUCAACCGUGGAGGGUCAUUGGAAACUGGGGGACUUGGGUGCAGGAGAGAAGAGUGGAAUUCCACGUGUAGCGGUGAAAUGCGUAGAGAUGUGGAGGAACACCAGUGGCGAAGGCGACUCUUUGGCCUGUAACUGACGCUGAGGCGCGAAAGCGUGGGGAGCAAACGGG